rnacentral:SRP_RNA from 1 species
GCUGGGCGUGGUGGCACACGCCUGUAAUCCCAGCCACUUGGGAGGCUGAGGCAGGGGAAUUGCUUGAGCCCGGGAGGCAGAAGUUGCAGUGAGCUGAGCUCUUGCCACUGCACUCCAGCCUGGCCGACAGAGCGAGACUCUGUCUCAA